GACACAUUCUCUUGUAUCAUUUGUUUUCAUAAUUUUUAUCACUCGUUUUCAAGAUAGUAUCAAUUUGCCCAAAAGGAAACAGAGUGGUACCUGGUACAGGCAGGUGCGCCAAGGAACUGAAAACGUAAUGAGUACUUUUCAACAAGACAAUGUAUUACUAUUGAAACACUGGCUGAUGCAUUGUUGGACAAAUAUAAGGAAAACUAUUCUGGUGAGCAGAGUUUGGAUAACUUUAAGUAAGUGAAAUUCAUUGAAGAACCCAUCAUACCACUCAUUUUAAAUACUUCAUUUGUGGGUUUAUUUUUCUAAGUGAGAAACCUAACCUAACCUAUUUCUUGAUGUAAUACACUUUUUCUUUUUCAAUGAAAUAAUAUAUUUAUUAUUUUUUAAUUAGUGCUAAUGAAUUCACAGAGUUGUUAUUUUAGUAUAUUUUUAGUAUACAUUUGUUUGAGAGUAGGAACAUCCUAAUUUGAAUACAUUUCUAAUAUUUGUAAUAUGACAGUAUUCAGGAAUAUAUUAUUCAGUGAAUAAAUAUUUUGAAUUAGA